CAUAUGAAAGAGCAAGAGAUUCACACCUUUAUUUUUCAACCCCCACAAGCUAUACAGAACUACCCCCAAACCCCAACCCUCUCCAGCUGAACUGAAUUCAGUCGCUACUGUUUACAGUGUAAAAUGGACAUGCUCUAUCUAAAAUAAAAACAAAAUGGUGUACCAGCGUAACCACAUAAACCAGCGAACUGCAGAACAAAUUUGUAUUAAUCAUUUUAUAUAAUACUUAUAUAGAUAAUUCUUGUGUGCUUAUUGUAGUGUUUAAAUGCUGAUCUUAUAUAUAUAUAUAUAUAUAUAUAUAUAUAUAUAUAGAUAGAUAGAUAGAUAGAUAGAUAGAUAGAUAUACAGGUGCUGGUCAUAUAAUUAGAAUAUCAUCAAAAAGUUGAUUUAUUUCAUUAAUUCCAUUCAAAAAGUGAAACUUGUAUAUUAUAUUCAUUCAUUACACACAGACUGAUAUAUUUCAAAUGUUUAUUUCUUUUAAUUUUGAUGAUUAUAACUGACAACUAAGGAAAAUCCCAAAUUCAGUAUCUCAGAAAAUUAGAAUAUUACUUAAGACCAAUACAAAGAAAGGAUUUUUAGAAAUCUUGGCCAACUAAAAAGUAUAAAAAUGAAAAGUAUGAGCAUGUACAGCACUCAAUACUUAGUUGGGGCUCCUUUUGCCUGAAUUACUGCAGCAAUGCGGCGUGGCAUGGAGUCGAUCAGUCUGUGGCACUGCUCAGGUGUUAUGAGAGCCCAGGUUGCUCUGAUAGUGGCCUUCAGCUCUUCUGCAUUCUUGGGUCUGGCAUAUCGCAUCUUCCUCUUCACAAUACCCCAUAGAUUUUCUAUGGGGUUAAGGUCAGGCGAGUUUGCUGGCCAAUUAAGAACAGGGAUACCAUGGUCCUUAAACCAGGUACUGCUGUUCAAGAGUGGCUUGACACAAGGAGUGCUCAGCUGAAACCCAUGUCUUGCAUACGUCUGUGCGUAGUGGUUCUUGAAGCACUGACUCCAGCUGCAGUCCACUCUUUGUGAAUCUCCCCCACAUUUUUGAAUGGGUUUUGUUUCACAAUCCUCUCCAGGGUGCGGUUAUCUCUAUUGCUUGCACACUUUUUUCUACCACAUCUUUUCCUUCCCUUCGCCUCUCUAUUAAUGUGCUUGGACACAGAGCUCUGUGAACAGCCAGCCUCUUUUGCAAUGACCUUUUGUGUCUUGCCCUCCUUGUGCAAGGUGUCAAUGGUCGUCUUUUGGACAACUGUCAAGUCAGCAGUCUUCCCCAUGAUUGUGUAGCCUACAGAACUAGCCUGAGAGACCAUUUAAAGGCCUUUGCUGGUGUUUUGAGUUAAUUAACUGAUUAGAGUGUGGCACCAGGUGUCUUCAAUAUUGAACCUUUUCACAAUAUUUUAAUUUUCUGAGAUACUGAAUUUGGGAUUUUCCUUAGUUGUCAGUUAUAAACAUCAAAAUUAAAAGAAAUAAACAUUUGAAAUAUAUCAGGCUGUGUGUAAUGAAUAAAUAUAAUAUACAAGUUUCACUUUUUGAAUGAAAUUAGUGAAAUAAACUUUUUGAUGAUAUUGUAAUUAUAUGACCAGCACCUGUAUAUAUAAUAUAUAUAUAUAUAUAUAUAUAUAUAUAUAUAUAUAUAAAAUAAUAAUAAUAAUAAUAAUAAUAAUAGUAAUAAUUUAAAGUGAAACAUAAGGUAAGGUUGGACUUACCUCUUUCAUUCGGGACAAAUCUAAACGUUUCCAUAUUUGUGAUGUUGCCCAUUUUGAAGCUAAACUAUUAUUCAUUAGGUAAAAUAGGCUUUGUAGUUCACGCGUGUUUCUGUAUCGACAGAAAAAAAUCAUAAUUAGCAAAAAUAUGCCAAAAAGCUGUGCUGUUUUCAAUGAAUAUGUGCGUGUGAGGCACCAGCAUGUAGACUGUAGCCUAAGACUAUCCCACUUUUUGAAAUUAACUCACUGUAAAUUUUCUAAUGGUUUUUAAGUAUGUUACAAUGUUAUAUUAUAAUGUUAUUGUUGUUCUACUUCAUCCUUUCAUCUCCAUUUACAAACCAAAAUUUUACAAUUACAGUCAGUUUGCAACCCGUGCCUUUGCACCACCUGACGUUAGUUUUGCGAAUAACUUUUGCACGCGAUUUACAUGCAGUUAACGCCGCGACCCUGCGGCGGCGGUACAUGAGGCAGUAUUACCCAUUCUGGUU
ensembl:lncRNA